rnacentral:rRNA from 1 species
CAGCAGCCGCGGUAAUGCGGAGGGUGCAAGCGUUAACCGGAAUUACUGGGCGUAAAGCGUACGCAGACGGUCUGUUAAGUCAGAUGUGAAAUCCCCGGGCUUAACCCGGGAACUGCAUUUGAAACUGGCAGGCUAGAGUCUCGUAGAGGGGGGUAGAAUUCCAGGUGUAGCGGUGAAAUGCGUAGAGAUCUGGAGGAAUACCGGUGGCGAAGGCGGCCCCCUGGACGAAGACUGACGCUCAGGUACGAAAGCGUGGGGAGCAAACAGGAUUAGAUACCCGCGUAGUCCCUGUCUCUUAUAC